ACGACAACCAAGUCUGAUAAAAAUGUCUCGGGAAAAUUUAUCAAUACUGAUCUUGUUCCGUAUUUUACGUCUAUAAAAAAAACCAUUCCAGAGAGCAAAAUGGCAUCGUUGAUUAUAGUUAGUUAGUAGUCAAUGCAAAUAAAAGUGAUAACGCAUCUACGAUUAAUAUUCACCGCACAGGUGAUAACGUUGAAUACCUUAAUAAAUUUCAAUAAUUUUGUCUAGUUUAACAGAAAAGAGCAGUUGUGCACAAUGUGGGUGAUUUUUUAGCACUCGCAAAACGGCGCAAAGCGACAAUAACGUUGAGUGGGAGGGCAAAAAAGUCAAUGAUCAUUACCGAUUAUGAGAACUUUGUUGCGUGUUGAUGAAAAGAGGAUUUUCUGGAUUUCAUCUACAUCUUUUUUGCACUGGAAUAAGAUAUUGACAUUUCAUAGAAUUAAGGAAAUCUUUAAACAGAUCUUGUCGAGUAUUGUGGCAUUAUUCUUUGGAUUACAGAGUUGAGACAGUGCACCUUGUAGACCUACUACGUCCUGCCAUAUGAAGCCAAUUCCAUAAUUAAAAACAAGAUUCAGAGAUGAAUCUUUACCAACAAGUUAAAAAGAUGAAAUUGGGGUGGCUACAAAAGUUCUUUGAGGAAAUCGACCAAAGGCAACACCAUGAGUAUGAAAUAUUAAAUUAGAUUUUCAUUACAUUAAAUUGAAAAAUCACGAUUCAGUUGACUUAAUAAAAUCUGGUAAAGUUCCAACGCAACUCCGCUUGACAUUACCAGACCAGUGGAAUAGCUAUGAAAGUAUGGCCAAAAUGUGAUCACGAUGUCUAAACAUCCUAGUGAUAGGGUGUGUUGCCGCAUUGCGGUCAAACAAGUUGGAAGCCUAACGUGUGCGAAGCUAAAAUUUUUUUUUCAGUCCAACAAUUUCUAGUUCUCAAGACCAAUGCAUCAUGUGGCAAAUUUGAUCGACGAUAGAGAAUCCAUGGAAUCUGUCUGAUUCUGAUUUUCAAUCGUCCUCUAGUGCUUUGCGCUUAGCAACUGAAACCAGAAGUCAAAAGGGCAAAAAUAGAAAUGAAAAAGAUUUUCUGAGAUUAGACGUUUGCAAAACUGGCGGAAGAAAUACCAUCGAGGGCGAAACAUACUGCCAAAACUACGUGUAAAUCUGGGGCUUGAGUGGGGGAGGAGGGGGGUCGAAAUAAAUGUUGCAUUGGGAUUCUUUCUAUGUAUGAAGCCCCAAAUAAAAAUACUUUUGGUUGCCAGGCUGCUAUUCCCCUUCACCCUGUGUAAUAAAAUCAGCAUUUAUUUUUUUAAAUACAACAAUAAAAUAAA